rnacentral:rRNA from 1 species
AUGAGAAGUUUUGGGAAAGAGUGUAUUACAACAUUUCUAAUUCGUGAAUUUCUAAUGAUCGCCGUGUCCUGCAUGCUGGAUCAUCUACUAUUCUAUGUUCUUUCCGAAAGCGUGCCAAUCCCUAUGAUCAUCAUUAUAGGGGUAUGGGGUUCGAGACAAAGAAAGAUCAAGGCAGCAUAUCAGUUUUUCCUAUAUACUUUACUGGGAUCCGUUUCUAUGCUAUUAGCUAUUCUGUUGAUUCUUCUCCAAACAGGAACCACCGAUUUACAAAUUUUAUUAACCACUGAAUUUAGUGAGCGGCGCCAAAUCCUUCUAUGGAUUGCUUUUUUCGCCUCUUUUGCCGUCAAAGUGCCUAUGGUACCAGUUCAUAUUUGGUUACCCGAAGCCCAUGUAGAGGCACCUACGGCUGGAUCCGUCAUCUUGGCUGGAAUUCUUUUAAAAUUGGGAACCUAUGGGUUUUUAAGAUUUUCCAUACCCAUGUUUCCCGAGGUGACACUUUGUUUCACUCCUUUCAUUUAUACUCUAAGCGCGAUUGCUAUAAUAUAUACUUCCUUGACCACUUUAAGAUAG